rnacentral:tRNA from 1 species
AUUACUUUGGCAGAUUAAGUGUAUUAAAUUUAGAAUUUAAAUAAUGUAUGAAAAAAAUAAAAGUUAUACAAGUAAUA